CAUGCGUUUUAAAUAUAGCCUAAUAGGAACUAAAUGUACAGACCGCUUGUCCGUUUUGCAAGAAAGAAGCUUAGACUGAAUUAAAAGGAUAACUAGUCGAAUUUGUGGCUUAGGAUAAUAAAUAAAAGUGACUUGUCAUACGAGCGUAAUACGUAAUAGCUAUUUUUGUACAAUAUCCAUGGGUAAAACUGUCAGUGUGACUAUGCUUUUGACUACUGGGGGAAAGGAACCAUGGUCACUGUCUCGUCAGCUCAACCAUCUCCACCAAAGUCAGUCUUCGGCAUGUCUCAGUGUACUUCUGAUUCUGAUGGAUUCGUCACCGUCGGCUGCUUGGCAAGAGGUUUCUCACCUGCGGACUCACUCACUUUCAAAUGGAAGGAUACUAAUAAAGAUUUGAGUGAAUUUGUGCAGUAUCCAUCAUUCGGGCAGGAUGGAGACUAUACCAAAAUCAGCCAUAUGCGUAUCAGAAAAAGCGACUGGGUUCCUGAAAACCCUUACACAUGUCAAGCUACAAAUUCUGAAGGCUCAAGAGAGGCUAAAGUUGAAGUUCGAGCUACACCAACAGCCCCAACAACAGCUCCACCAGCAGCCCCACCUUCAGGCUCAUGUACACUGACACUGAAGCCACCACUUCAGAGAGAAAUAUUUGUUCAUAAUAAAGUUGUCUUGGAAGCUGUUGUUUCUGGAGAUAUAAAAGAUACAGUGUCAUGUACAGUGAAUAAUGCUGAGAGACAAAAAGUCGAUUUUUCUAUUAACAUUUCACAGUCUACAAAAAAAUACAAUGUCACUGUUGAUACAAAGAAAUGGUUUAAUGGUGAAAAAGUCACUUGCACCAUCCGUGACACAAAUAACAAAGAAAUCAAGCAGGAGAUCAGUUUAAAAAAAGGAGAUGGAAAGACACCCAGUGUUUUCAUUUACAAACCUGAUAAUAUUGGCACAGGUCCUGUCUCUCAUGUGUGUGAGGUCACCAGCCCUAACCUUGGCGAUGUCUAUAUCAUGUGGAAACUGGCUGACGGGCAUUACAGAGAGGGCAGAACCAGUGCUCCCAUCCAUCAAAAGGACUCCAAGUCUGUUCUCAGCAUCCUAACAGUUUCAAAAGAAGAGUAUGAAAAUCUCAAAGCCAUCAUCACCUGUGCAGUCAAACAUGCCAACAUGAACAAUAUAAGUGCUCCAUUACAAGAGUCAACAAGCAAAAGUGAGCCACCUGAGCCAGAGAAUGGAUGUGCUCUAGACUGCAAUAAAGAUGUUGAGGAGGAGGAUGAGUUCAGAAGUCUCUGGUCCACUGCCACCUCAUUCAUCUUCCUCUUCCUCUUUUCUCUGACCUACAGUGCGGUGCUCAGCUUCUUCAAGGUGAAGCAGUGAUGAUUUGUUAAAAGAACAUGUGAAGACUCCAAGGUUUCUUAUUUGUUUUGUGACUGUAAUUAAUGUUAGUCUAAUCUCUCUCUCUCCUUUGCUCUGUCUGUUCCUAUCUUUCUGUAAGUUUGUCUGAAAAACAUAUAGUCUUAAUGAAAUGUUGAAACUACAUAAUUUGCCUCUGUGCACAUAUUCUUGAAGACACUGACAAAUAUGUACUGAGUGUUCACACUCAUCAAUAAAGACUUAUGUCUGUCAAAUCAUCUAGAUUUUACUCCUUCAAAUAUUACAUCAGCCUCUUACUACAAAUAACGUUAUCUUGCAUUUUCAAUAGAUGUUACUAUGAUAUUAGUAGAGCUCUGUCAGAAGAUACAAAACUGUGAGAAUAUGAGCUAUAAAGAUGUAUAGUCAUGACCUCAGUCUUGAUGUGUUUUCUCAGCUGCUUAUCAAAAGCAUGAGGUUUUAGAUGAACAG